AUACGUAGGUGACAAGCGUUAUCCGGAUUUAUUGGGUUUAAAGGGUGCGUAGGUGGGCCUGUAAGUCAGUGGUGAAAGUUUGCAGCUUAACUGUAAAAUUGCCGUUGAAACUGCCGGUCUUGAGUGCAAAUGAGGAAAGCGGAAUGUGUUGUGUAGCGGUGAAAUGCUUAGAUAUGACACAGAACACCGAUUGCGAAGGCAGCUUACUGGGAUGCCACUGACACUGAGGCACGCAAGCGUGGGUAUCAAACAGGAUUAGAUACCCUGGUAGUCCACGCAGUAAACGAUGAAUACUAGUUGUCUGCGAUAUAUUGUAGGUGACACAGCGAAAGCGUUAAGUAUUCCACCUGGGGAGUACGUUCGCAAGAAUGAAACUCAAAUGAAUUGACGGGG
rnacentral:rRNA from 1 species